rnacentral:rRNA from 1 species
UGCUAAUACCGGAUAACAACAGAUGAUGCCUAUCAACUGUUUAAAAGAUGGUUCUGCUAUCACUCUUGGAUGGACCUGCGGUGCAUUAGCUAGUUGGUAGGGUAACGGCCUACCAAGGCGAUGAUGCAUAGCCGAGUUGAGAGACUGAUCGGCCACAUUGGGACUGAGACACGGCCCAAACUCCUACGGGAGGCAGCAGAC